AAACAACACAGUAUAGGUCAAAAUGGCCAAGGUCCUUUUGAUAUCAACACCAAACUCGCUGUUGCUUUAACCUAUGCUGGCAUUGGAGAAGCUGUGGUUUCAAAGAUUUUUUCGACGCUCAAUAUACCAAUUCUAACUCCAAGAAAUUUGAAGAAGAGAGAGUGAGAGACUGUCCCUGCUCUAGAGACACUGGCAAGAAAUUCCUGUGAUGAAGCCUUACAACUGGAGGCACAUAAAUCAAGUGAAAGUGGAUUGGUGCUUUCUUAUGAUGCUGGAUGGCAAAAGCGAGGAAGUGGUAGAAACUACAAUAGUCUCUCAGGACAUGCAUCAAUGUUUGGCAGCAAAACUGGCAAAUUAGUAGGGUAUGGUGUCAUGUCCAAAACAUGCCGGACCUGUGAUUCCAACAAAAGGAGAACCUGUGAAAAAGAUCAUGACUGCAGGAAGAAUUGGUCUGGAAGUUCAAAGUCAAUGGAACCAGCAAUGGCAGCCAACAUUAUAAGAAAUAUUGAA